CAGUCGCCGCGGGAAUACGAAGGGGGCUAGCGUUGCUCGGAAUGACUGGGCGUAAAGGGCGCGUAGGCGGCGAUCAAAGUCAGGCGUGAAAUUCCUGGGCUCAACCUGGGGGCUGCGUUUGAUACUUGAUUGCUAGAGUGGGGAAGAGGGUCGUGGAAUUCCCAGUGUAGAGGUGAAAUUCGUAGACAUUGGGAAGAACACCGGUGGCGAAGGCGGCUCACUGGACGCGUAUUGACGCUGAGGUGCGAAAGCGUGGGGAGCGAACAGGAUUAGAUACCCGCGUAGUCCCUGUCUCUUAUAC
rnacentral:rRNA from 1 species